rnacentral:rRNA from 1 species
GAUGAACGCUGGCGGCGUGCCUAAUACAUGCAAGUCGAGCGAACGGACGAGAAGCUUGCUUCUCUGAUGUUAGCGGCGGACGGGUGAGUAACACGUGGAUAACCUACCUAUAAGACUGGGAUAACUUCGGGAAACCGGAGCUAAUACCGGAUGAUAUUUUGAACCGCAUGGUUCAAAAGUGAAAGACGGUCUUGCUGUCACUUAUAGAUGGAUCCGCGCUGCAUUAGCUAGUUGGUAAGGUAACGGCUUACCAAGGCAACGAUGCAUAGCCGGCCUGAGAGGGUGAUCGGCCACACUGGAACUGAGACACGGUCCAGACUCCUAUGGGAGGCAGCAGUAGGGAAUCUUCCGCAAUGGGCGAAAGCCUGACGGAGCAACGCCGCGUGAGUGAUGAAGGUCUUCGGAUCGUAAAACUCUGUUAUUAGGGAAGAACAUAUGUGUAAGUAACUGUGCACAUCUUGGCGGUACCUAAUCAGAAAGCCACGGCUAACUACGUG